CCUCCACAUCUGCCUCCCACCAGUGGUUGGCCCACCACUGGCUUGGCUACUCUAGAAAAAUCCAGUCUAAAAGCUCUGCCGCCCUCCUUCGAGGAACAGUUGAUAUUGGCUGCAAGACAUGCCCAUCAGCAUGCCCUUAAGGUUGUCCAUGAGUUCUUUAGGACAGAUAAGUCCAAUGAUUCUGAUGAAAUAGAUAGUGAAAGUGAUAAUGAUGAUGAUGAACUGAUGGAGGAAGACAGUGGGAGUGAGAAGUACAGUGUUUUCUUUAAGGUGUUUGAAGAAGGCACAGAGUUGAGGGAGUAUUACAUGAAGAAUUUCUCUGAAGGGGAGUUUAGUUGUCUGGUUUGUGGUGCUGUGGGUGGAAAGAGAAGUGGCAAGACGUUUAAAGGUUGCUUGCCACUUGUGCAACAUUCAAUCACCAUUUCCAAAACAAAGAAGAGGAAACCCCAUAGAGCUUUCGGGCGAGCUGUCUGCAAGGUUCUUGGUUGGGACAUUGAUUGCCUUCAUGACAUUGCGGGUAUGCUGAGUGACAAGACUGGCAAGAUACAGGUAACAUAGCCUUGACUACAGUUAGCUUCUUACUUUGAAUAGAGAUGAUGAUGCAAUUUUCCUAUAAACAAAUCAGUAUUUCUGUUACUGCAGGACAGCAAAGAGGAUUCUGUGUCUUCUGUCCACAAUGUUGAUUUGGUAAAGCCAAACGAUGAUACUUUAGAGGGUAAAAAUGACGAAGCAGCACCAGAAAGUGGACCUGUUUGUUCUGGAAUUCCAUCCAAUAGUGAUGACGGAGAUAUGGACAUGGUAUGCAUGCUUAGAGAUACUCAAGACUUUAUUUGAAGUAAAAGUCCUUACACUCUUUUAGUUGUGGAAACUUGAGCUGUUUGAGGAGUUAUGUGUGUGUUGGUGUAGUUUUUUUUUNNNNNUUUUGUAAAAAAAAAUUCCAGUUUUCUGUGUAGAAUCCUUUGGCAUGUCCUGAGGCAGUUAAGAAUUGAAGAUUCUCAUGUUGAUUGAUUAUUGAAGAUUUUCCACUUUGACUCUACUAAGUACUAAGUGCUCGUUUGGUUCAAGUAGAGGAAUGGAAAGGGAAUGAAAUCAAAUAAAGGAGUGAAAUGAUAACAAUAACCAUUACUUUUAUUGAGUGCUUGGUUUAACAAUGGAAAUGAAUCAUUGGUAAGAGAUUCCUUUUCUUUUGUUUCCCCUCUAUUUUGAGGGGUAACAAAUUGAGUGAUUGGGUUACCCUCAAAUAAGGGUAAUGAUUAUCUCAUUGCCAAACCAAAUAAUAAGUAAUAGAUUCAAUUACUUGAUUCCCUUUCCAACCUCUAAAAACACCCAACAAAUGUGGGCUAAAUAUAUACUUAUUCUUGAAACUGAAUAAAAACAUCUCGUAGAAUGUAUCAAAUUUGUGUGCGAUUGUUUUGAUAUUUUAGCUUUUGUGACCCUCGAGUGGAGAACUUCAUGGUUGAGCAGUAACCUUUGUCUGUUGCUUGUGCAGAAUUUAACUUGUCCUGACGCUGAUAGAAAUUUGGGAAAUGGCAAUUUGCAUGCACAUAGCUUGGAGGAUCCAAUAGCGGAAUAAUCGGGUGAGUACCUUCACUAAAUUUACUAGUAGUUAUUUUUCUUAUGUAUCUGUUUCUUGUGAGUAGUCGUAUCUUGUUUGGUGGAAUAUGAUAGUGUGGUGGUUGUAUUACAAAGCUAACAAACAAUAUCUCUAUGCUAUGCCAACAAACAAAGCAUUGUCAUUAGCUCGUACCUUUGUUGUUUCUCUUUCCCGUAUCUGUUACUCCCUCUGACCCAAUAUAAAUGUCCCAUAGCUUUUGGGCACGGUCGCACGGAGAUUAAGAAAUGUGUAGAAAGUAGAUAAAGUGGGUUAGUGAAAAUUAUUCAAAAAUUAGGUAUAUAGAGAUAAUAUAUUGCCAAAAAAGGAAUGAGACAUUUAUAUUGGGACGUCCUAUUAUGGAAAGUGGGACAUUUAUAUUGGGACGGAGGGAGUAUUAAANUAAGUUUUUAUAAACAUGUGUGAGCUCAACUCUAUGUAUAUGAAUGCUGAACCAAAAAAUUUAUUUCAAGUUCUGUUAAUUCUCCACUUUCCUAAAUUAGCGGACUUAAGAAGGUUAUUUCACUAGACUAGUGGUAGGCUUUGCUGAGUUAAGUCCGGACUUCUAAUUGAGUUCACAGGACACCAGUCUUUCCAGUUCUUAUGAAGUUUGCCUAUGAUGUCUUAGUACUUUUACAUGGUAAAGAUAUGAGAAAAAGUAGAAGAUAGCAGUCAUCAAUUUCAGGAUCCUUUUCCAUUAACCACAUUCCUUUUCAUAGCUUUGCUGUCUGUUUCUUCCAUCUUGCUUGGCUCCAAUGUAUUCUUCCAGACUGCCACAACCCAUGGACUCUACCUCUUCCAUGAAAACUUAAUAGCGACUGUCUAGUGCUUCAUACUCCAUUCACAACCUCAACCACUCUCCACCAACCUAAACUCGAACACUAAAGCCUCAUUUUAUGAUUAUUGCUUUCUUUGUUAAAUAGCUACCCAAGAAGCUUUUCCUUUUGCCAACCUGAGUUUUAGGUCCGGUGUGCGAAUACGUGACCUAGGUCUACUUGAGAUGUGUUGCAAGAUGACCUUUGGCAUGCAUUAGUAGAAAUUUUCAUGGUUGAUGGUUCUUGAUAAACUAACUUACAUCAUAGUUGUAGCUAUGCUGUAGCUUUUUCCUAAGAGACUUUAUUUUGGGUGAUAGCUUGAGUAGAUAAAAAUAAUAUAGGCUAAUCAAUCACAUACUUUGAUGGAUUGAACAACUUUGAAUUUGUUUUUAUCAUUAUCAUGUACUCCUUCAAAUACAUAAUGCCAUGUAUUGUAAAUCCAAGCUUACAAUUAAAUGUGCCCCCAAAAAUACAGACCUAAUAUCCAGAAAUUUGAUGUGGAAGUUUUUGUAUGCAGUGAGAGUUAGUAAAAUGGUAUAAAGUAAUUGUCAUUGAUAAUCAAUAAUUUGUCUUCAUUUUGGAGAUGAGCUUUCAUGAGCAUCCUUAAUCUUGUUCUGCUUUCAAUUUUCCUUUGCCAUUCUCUUUACUAAAAAAUAUUCGAACUUGAAACAUCUUAAGAAAUUGAUAUUUGGUUUGCUUUUUGUUUGACUCUCAAAAAUCUUCUGAUGAUGAAAAAUAUCAAAGUAGUGAAGUUUGGUUCUUCUUCUUACAAAUCCUCCACUGGCAAUAAAAACUGGAAAACUGUUGAAAAGAUUUCCUGUGAUGAUGGAGGAACAAAUUGAUUGUUCUAAAUGAUAGUUUUCGACUUGUUCUCUGUUUUGGAAUUUUAUUUGAGCCACCAUAGUUUCAUAUCUUCUACUACGUGCUCAAAACCUUGUGCUUUUGCAAAUUUUCCAGCCUACGAGCUCUGCUCAGGAAUGAAGUUUGGGAAGACUUGAUGUUAUUCUUUUCUCUCCAUAUUUCACAAAGUGGUUUGAAAUGCAAAAUUGAGUCUCUUCAUGAUGUUUCAGUGAUGUCUCAAGCAAUGGCCAUCAUUCUCGAAGUUCUAUCACCACCUUCUGACUGUAGCAGAAACUAGUGUACCUUGAGUCUAAAUUUCUGAUAAAAUGCAAUAUUUUUUUGGCGCAGGUGCCUUGUGACGCGAUACAAAAUGGCGUGGGAAAUGAAGUGCAAGUUGUGCAGAUGGGUUGAUGUUGUUCAAAAUUUUCUGAUUGUUUCUUAAGAAGAGUUUGUAAAUCCAGUAGGGAAACAUUUCUAGUUUCAGGUUAUCCAAAAAUUAUCAAAAUCCAGUUGUGGAUAUUCUAGUUUCAAGACAUGCUUCCCAAUCAUCAUCAACAAACUGUUACUGUAGCCAAAUGAUGAAGAGUAGGGCUGAGCUAGGAAAUCACUUAACUUGAUCACAGCAAAUAGUAAAUUAGGUUUGGUGAUUUAUUGCAGCUGCAAACUUGUAUCCACAGGUGUAGAAUGUGGAGUAUCCCUGAAUCAACAAGGAGAUCCAAUGCAUAUGACAAUAAAAUUGACUUGGUUUGAAUAGAUUAAGCAAAGAAGGAUUAUCACAAUAAAAUUGCAGCUACAAACGAAUUCAGCCUAAUUUAACCCAACCAAAUUGGCAUCGUACAUAUUUAAGAACCUAAUUAUCAACAAAAAAUUACUAUAACAGUGUUAAAUGUUCACAAAUGACAAAUAAACACAUUAAGCCUCGCUCAAUAACAUACUAAACAAACUUAAAAGGUGUAACCGUAGUCCACAUAAAACAAGGUAAAAGAAAUCAUAAAUUUCAUAAUAAAAAAAAGAUUUUUGUAGGUGUAGGAACUUGGCGUGUUUAUAUUUUAUAUGGCAUUUUUGCUUGGCUUAUUUGUUGAAUUAUUUUGCUAGACGAGCUCAUUUUCGAGACUUGGGCCCUUAAUUUGCUUCCUGUACUUUCAAAGGUUUUUGAUUUGGUUUUUUUUUCCCCCCCUCUUUUUUUUUAUAAAAUCACAAUCUAAUAAAGAUGAGAUACAAUUGACAUAAUUAGUGCCAAUUGUGUCAGCGGUCGCCUAACGGGGCAGUGAGCGAGGGAGAGAAGGGGUGCGCAGGCAAGGGUAGUUUGAACUGAAAUUGUAAAAAAUGGCCAUAAUUUGUGUUUUUCAGAUGGGUGGCCAAAAAUUGAGUUUCAUUACUCAAUAUAGCUAUAUGAGUGUAUAUUCUCUUAAAUUUAUUAGAAGGGAAAAAUAUAUGGACUUAAGUAUAGAUUCACGGAACUUGAGGAUCUCAUGUAUUUGAGCCCGAUGAAUGUGGACAAAAUCCAUACCCAUAUAAGAAUUUUUGAAUUUGGAUUCAAACCUAACACGAUUCGAUCCAAAUCUAAUCCUUUGUCAUCCCUAACAUUGAUGGAUCCAAAUGGGUAGUCGGGGCACUAGUCUAAAAACGCAGGAGUAUUUUCAUAAGUUAAUAAUCAUACAAAUUAAAAUUAAAAAAAUUGUUAAUCGAUCCAAGACUAGUAAUAAUGAUAAAUUAACGGAUUUUGUCAUUCUUGCCCCCACAAAACACACAUUGAUAUAAGUUGUUUGUGACUUUCAGUUGCAAUAGGAAAAAUUAUUACUUAUUUUCUUGUCUCUAAAAAAGGCUUAAAUAAAUUAUAUGAUAAUAAAAUUAAAACACAAUUAGCUCUUGCUUUUUUCAUCUAUAUUAUAAAAUCACAUAAAUGAAUAAUAGAAGAACCCCAACUCUUGAAUUUUUUUUUUUUUUGAAAGGGAAGAUGAUUUUAUUACUCAAGAAUAAUCAGCCAUAACAAUAUCCUGGGGCCAAGCCGGAAAAUUCUCAACCCAUGAUAGUUGUUGGUUGAGGUUCAUAGCAAAUUGAGCAAGGUUGUGUGUCACUCGAUUCGCCGAUCUAUACUCAUGCAUGAAAAAUGCUGAUGAGCAUGUUCUCUCUAGCCGUUUGGAUAUUCUCACGAACAUCUUCAGGAAGAAAAAGAUGAUCUUCAUUCGGGCUUGCCAUGAUCCGAGCUGCAAAGAGUGAGUCCGUAUAAAUCUCAAUGGGAGCAACCUGCAUCUCAAGGCUGAAGAUAAUGCCUUGAACCACAGCCAUGAUUUCUGCAACAAUCACGUUCGUUGAGGGGCCAGUAGGUUUGGUCGUAGUAGCAACGAUCACCCCGCGAUGAUUCCAGAUAUAAUGGCACCAACACCAAAUGCAGUAAUGCUCUAAUUAAACAAAACAUCUACGUCAACAUGAAAGCAAUCUCGCUUUGGACGCCGUCCAUUUUUGGCUGCCCAGCUUCACUCCCAUAAGCAUCUCUGUGGUGAAAAGUAGGCUUGACCAGUUGGUAAGCCUCCCAAAGAGUCAUACACGAUAGUUCAGUCGGCAGUUGGAGGUCAGUGCCAUCCCAUGCUUAACCCUGCAGAGGUGCACCUAGGGGUGGAAUGGUACGGUAUACCUUAACAAAUUAUUCAUACUUUAUACCUUACCUUUACCUCCGGUAUGGAGAAAUUUCGUACCUUUACCUACAGUAUACCUUAGAUUACGGUAUGAAAAAGUCUCAUACGUUUACCGUAUCUUUGUUUUGGUAUACCAUACCGUAUUUCGGUAUAUCAUAGUUUCGGUAUACUGUAUCAUAUUUCAGUAUACCGUACUUACGCGUUAUAUUGAAAUUGAUAAAUUUGGGUACGAUAAUACUGAUAAUUUUUUUUAAAACCUGCUUACUCUGGUAUACCGUAAUAUCCGGUAUAUACCGGUAUACCGAUAAUAAGGUAUCAUACCUUAUUCCGGUAUAUACUUUUAAUACGAUAUUAUUGACGUUUUCGGUAUAUACCGCAGUAUAUACCCCGGUUUUUAAAAAAUUCAUACCUUUAUCUUACCGUAAACCUUCGGUACGGUAUCAUACCUUACCGAAAAAUUCGGUAUACCAUAAAUUCGGUAUUUUACGGUAUUUUCCGGUAUGAUAUGGCCAGUAUACCAAGUUUUCGAUAUAUUUCCCCAGCCCUAGUAAACUCCACAACUCAUACUCUUCAGUCGAGAAUGCACUAUGCACAGUAGCAGAAAUAUCGAGCAAAGGAGUGUCAAGUGCCUUAUUCAUAAAACACCAAAACUUUGAGCUUUUCCAUGCACACCGAAUCGUCGGGCAAAAGAGAAGGCAGUGCUCCGACGAUCCCCAUCUAUCCAUGCACCUGCCACAAAUACUAAUGGAUGGGACAUGAUGUUCUCGCAAGUUUGUCUCUGCAGGGAAAAUAUUAGAGAAAGCUCGCCAUAAGAAGAUUUUUGCUUUGGGAGGGAUCGAGAGAUUCCAAACCAGACGACUCCACCUUUUCUUGUCCAUCGAACUCUGGUGUGGAUUGUUGUCAAAGUACCCAAUAGCAAAUAGAUAUGCCGUCUUAACUGAGAAAUCACCACGAGCCUCGAACUUCCAACAUAACUCAUCUCUCGGACCAUGUUCCCCAAUUGGCAUUCGCCGAAUGGCCUCCGCUUCAUGGGGCCAAAACAGCUGAUCAAGUUUAGCCUCUUUUCCACCAGCUCGAUGGUGAGAUGAGGGAGUCCACCAUCACGGGCCGCGUAUGGCCGCCCAAUCUGCUAGUCAGUUUGCCAAGGCCACCAUCCACCACCCAGGCAUCUUUAUAAAUCUCAAUGCGUUUCCCAUCCCCCACCUUCUAGAACAGGACCCGUUCCAAUAAAGAACAACACCAAGCCAAUUAUUGAAGUGUGAUGCAUUUAUCUAUAAUAUUCUAAGUGAGAAUAAGCUUUGUAUAUUCUAGAGAAUUCAUUACUAGCUAGAUUUAUCUAGAGUAUUCUAAAUAAUACCUAGGAGGAGUCAUGGAUAUUCUAGAUAUUAGAUACUUUCCAUAAAUCAUCUAGAGAAUUCCUUAAAUAGAUAUUUGUAGAGAAUUCUAGUUACAAACUAAUGUAGUGGGAUCUAGAGAGAUCUUUCCACACCUAUAAAUAGAGCUCUUGUGAGCCAUUUGUAAAUUGUAACUAUCUCGAAAACAAGUCACACCAACCACAUUCUAAGUUCUUUGGAGACAAGAACUCCAUUCUAAAAUCAUUCUCUCUAUUCUACACACACUACACUCACACUAUUUAUCUACACCACUUCUCUAAAAUCACUCACCACACUCAAACCACCAUAUAAUCACCUCCAUUUUCUAACAAGUGGCAUCAUAGCUUGUUCGAUCAUACGUGGGCGUUAUGGCGUCGUUAAGUCUAUCCAUCACGACUCCAAUAUUCAAUGGAGAAAACUACGACUAUUGGAGUGUUCGUAUGAAGACUUGCCUUGAAUCCCAUGAUCUUUGGGAUGUCAUUGAAGAAGGAAUCACCAUGCCGUGAGAAGAUAUCGACAAGACAUACCCAUCCGAGGUACGUAAGAAAUUAAAGCAACAAAAUGCUAAAGCUCUCUAUCUUCUCCAACAAUCUGUUAGUGAUUCUAUCAUGGCAAGAAUCAUUCGAGCUACUACUGCAAAAUAAGCUUGGGAUAUCCUUAAGGAGGAGUUCCAAGGAAAUGCCAAAGUUAGAACCAUUAAACUACAAAGUUUAAGGCGAGAACUAGAGAAUCUUAAAAUGAAAGAUUCAGAGGCUGCAAAAGAUUAUUUCUCAAGAAUAAUGAAAAUAAUCAAUCAAAUGUGGUCAUAUGGAGAUAACGUCUCCGAUGAAAGGAUCAUACAAAAGGUCUUAAUCAGCCUUACAGAGAAAUAUGAUCCAGUAGUGGCGGCGAUUGAAGAAUCAAAAGAUUUGUCAAAAAUGCCCGUCGCGGAGCUGAUGGGUUCCUUUGAAGCACAUAAGCAACGAUUGAAUAGGCGACAUGAAAGUUCACUAGAGAGUGCCUUUUAGUCCAAGCUCAAUGUUAGAGGCAACAAGUCAAGAAGCGGCGAAAAUUUUAAAACCAAUCACAAGGAAAGAAGCUCCAACAACAAGGAGAGCAAGACAAACUUUUCACCAUGCAGAAUUUGCAAGAAGACAAAUCACUUAGAGAAGGACUGCUAUCAUCGAGGAAAGCCAUAGUGCAAAAACGGCAAAAGGUUCGGGCACGUGGAAAAAGAUUGCAGAGAUAGAAGAAAUCAUCAAGCUAACUAUUCAGAAAAUCAAAAUGAGAAGGAGUACAUGUUCUAUGCAUGUCACUCGGCAACGGAAGCACGAGAAGAAGAAUGGUACAUCGAUAGUGGAUGCAACAACCACAUGACAUCCAACGAGACCAUCUUCCGUGAGUUAGAUAUUUCAAUCAAGAUGAAGGUGAAGAUGGGCAAUAGAGAACUGGUGGAGACGAAAGGGAAAGGUAGCAUUGCCAUAGAAACUAAUAAAUGUACGCGAUUUAUUAGAAAUGUUCUCUGAGUACCUCGUCUUGCACAAAGCCUAUUAAGUGUUGGCCAAAUGAUGAAAAGUGGAUAUGCCCACCACUUUGAGAAAGAUUCUUGUCGAAUUUACGACAAGAAAGAUAAUCAAGAUAUUACAUUAGUAAAAAUGAGAAAAAAUAGAAACUUUCCCAUUCAGUGGCAAUAUCCACAAAAGGCAAUGGUGGCUCAACUCGACGAUACGAGUCUUUGGCACCAGAGAUUUGGGCAUUUCAACCUAAAUGUCUUGAGGAUACUUCAUCAGAAAAAUAUGAUGAGAGAUAUACCUCUUCUAAAUGAAAGAGAAGGUGUAUGCGAAGGAUGGAUGACCGAAAAACAACACAGACAACCAUUUUCAACGGAGAAAACAUGGUGAGCCAAGGAGAUACUAGAGCUUGUCCACACUGACGUUUGCGGUCCAAUGCGCACACCUUCAGUAAACCAAAACAAGUACUUCAUACUCUUUAUUGCUGACUACUCUAGAAUGACUUGGGUAUAUUUCCUCCAAGAAAAAUCAGAAGUCUUUAGAAUCUUCAAGAGAUUUAAGAACUUUGUGGAGAAACAAAGUAGUCGCAAAAUAAAGAAGUUUCAAAGCGAAUGAGGUACCGAAUACAACUCGAAAGAGUUCGACAAGUUCUGUGAAGAUGAAGGUGUGGAGCAUCAACUAACGGUGGCCUACACUCCACAACAAAACGGCGUGUCGGAAAGAAAGAAUCGAACAGCCAUGGAGAUGGUGAGAUCCAUGCUGCCGGAGAAAGGAUUGCCAAAGAAGUUUUGGGCAGAGGCAGUGUAUACAUCAGUCUACCUACUCAACCAAUGUCCAACAAAGGCCGUGCUAAACAAGACGCCGAUCGAAGCUUGGUCAGGACAAAAGCUUUCAGCCAAACAUUUGAGGGUCUUUGGAAGUAUCUGCUACAUCCACAUUCCCUCAGUAAAAAGACACAAACUGGAGGACAAGACGGAGAAGGGAAUCUUCCUCGGCUACAGCUCUAAAUCCAAGGGUUAUAGAAUCUACAAUCUUGAGACCAAGAAGCUGGUGACAAGUCGAGACGUGGAAUUUGACGAACAAGCCUCUUGAAAUUGGGAGACAGAAAGUGUUGAAAGGCGGACAACAACUACACUCCUAAAAGAAGUCACAGAACAUGGAGAACAAGAUCAACAAAGCCCACCAAGGUCCUCUCCUCAAGUGGAUCCGACUCAGACUCCUCACCAGACUUUCCACCUUUUCGGGUAAGAACUCUAGCAGAUUUAUAUGAAUCCACUGAUAUAUAUGAGACAUGCAACUUUUGUUCUUUGGAGCCAAGUAACUAUGCAGAAGCAUCCAAAGAGAAAGUUUGGAUUAAAGCAAUGGAGGAGGAGAUAAAAAUGAUAGAAAAGAAUGAUACUUGGGAGUUGGUGGAUCUUCCAAGUGACAAGGAAGUCAUUGGAGUCAAAUGGGUGUUCAAGACAAAGCUGAAUCCUGAUGGUUCGAUCCAGAAGCAUAAGGCAAGACUUGUCGCAAAAGGAUAUGCUCAAAUACCAGGAGUCGACUACACAGAAACGUUUGCUCCAGUGGCACGGAUGGACACAAUUCGAGCACUCAUAGCUCUGGCGGCUCAAAAGAGAUGGAAAAUCUAUCAACUUGAUGUUAAGUCGGCAUUUCUCAAUGAGAUCUAAAGACAAGAUAUAUGUGGAGCAGCCAGAAGGAUUCACAAACAAGAAAGGCAAAGUUCUUCGCCUCAAGAAAGCACUCUAUGGGCUCAAACAAGCGCCACGAGCCUGGUACAGCAAAAUAGACGGAUAUUUCACCGGUCAAGGAUUCAGAGGAGCAAGAACGAGCACUCUAUACAUCAAAACUCAGGUACGACAUCCUGAUUGUCUCUCUUUAUGUUGAUGACUUAAUUGUCACAGGAAAUAACACAAAAUUGAUCGAGGAUUUCAAGAGAGACAUGAUGAGCACCUUUGAGAUGACGGAUGUUGAGUAUCGACCCUCGUCGUCGUUGUUGAAGGCUCCUCUCCGGGCAGCAAAGCAGCGGCAACACAGCGGCGGAACAGCAGCAGGGACGGCGGCGGCAGGGACAGCAGCAGCGGUGGCUGUCCUCCGGCAACAACGCAGCAGCAACAGCGGCGCAGCAACGAGGUAGCAGCAGCCUCGACAACCUGCAAGGAAAAACACACAAAGAGAGGAACAAGGGGCGUCGAUCUUCUCGGCUCAGGUACAGCUCUCUUCCUCUCGAUCACGCACACACUAAGCCACGAAGAAUCACAAAGGGGACGUUGCUCUCGCCGGCACCACAAUCGGCCAACAAGCCUUACACCUUCACCGGUAGCACCUCCACACAAAGGAAGAACACUAAGCAAUUUUCGUCUCUUCUCUACAGCCACAGACCAAGGCCUCUUUAAAUAGCCUACCAUAGAAGGAUCUAGAGAAGGAAGGUGAAGAGGUUCAUGGGGGAGAAGAAGCGCAGGGGUCACAGCCCCAAAAGGGCACUAAAUUUCGACUGGAAGGGGGAAAUGGGAGGGCUGCCAAAAAGGAGGAUAGGGCAUGGGCUUGUUGGGCCAAAUUUGGGCCAACUAACAAUAUCUCCACCUUUGGCCCAAUCACGGUAUUGUGUGCAUCAAAGAGGAAGCUGUACCAUAAUCAUCAUCGCCGAGCCCCCUGUUAAAUCACAAAGAAAUAACAGGGAAACACAAGACCACAAAGGUCAACGGGUAAACUAACCAAGUCAAUUCCUGCAAAACACAAACAAGAGAAAGACAACCCCCAAGCACGAAGCACACUAACACAAAGUUAGUCUAGCACACAGGGCCACAAAGAGCUAGCACAGAUCACAAAGUACACAUGAUCACGAAGAUAACAUGCGACACAAACGGUCAUCACAAAGUAAAACUCACAAAGCCACAUAGACACAAAGCUACUAAUCAAUCACAAAGACACUAAGCCACAAAGACUCACAUAGUCAUUAAGGCACUAACCAACGAAGUCUCACAAAGCCACAAAGCCUAAACAAUCACAAAGAACAACACUAAGUCAUUAAGAAAGAGCUCCACCUUAGAACACAUCACUAUUGGUUUCAUUACCAAUUACAUUAGCAUGCUCUACAUCUUGUUUUUUCUUAGGGUGAGGACAAUCCUUAAUAUAGUGACCAGUUUCACCACAGUUAUAGCACUUCCUAGGCUUAUAUCUAUGAUUAGACUUAUCAUUAAAUCUCUUUUCACCCCUAACAUGCAUGACUUUGUCCGGUUCUUGAACACAAAUAUUAGAAUUUAAAUCUAAUUCCUUAUUCUUUAAAGCACUCACAACAGUGUCAAGCGUCACAUUAUCUCUACCAUACUUAAUAGCAGAUUUAACAUCACUGUAAGAGUCAGGAAUAGCAUUUAAAAGAGCAUACGGAGCAUACUCAUCAAUAUGUUUAUCACCCGUCAGUUUUAUAUCUUGAACUAACUUAGUGAAUUCAUCAACAUUUUCAUCAAUUUUCUUAUUCAAAUCAAGUUUGAAACGGAAAAACCUUUCAAUCAAAAAUAUCUUAGACGGCAACGAGGUUCCAGUGUACAACUCCUCUAACUUAGACCAUAGUUCUUUAGCAGAAGUCAUUCUCCCUACUUUUCUAAGAACACACUCAGACAAGUUGAGAACAAUAGCAGACAAGGCAAGACGAUUCAAUUGAGUUUUCUUUUUCUCAUCAACAUCUUCAUCAUACGAAUCAUCAAUUACUUGAUAAACAUUUUGUUGAAUUAAAAUACAUUCCAUUUUCUGCUGCCAAAAACCGAAGUCCGUUUUACCAUUAAAAGGAGCUAAACCAUAAUUUGCCAAAGAAGACAUCGCAACACGAAGCAAAUAAUCACAAAGACUCACAAAGAUUGACAACCACAGAGUUUACAGCGGAAGUAAAAAUAAGAGACCAAAAACACUAUUCACGAAAUCACUAUUCACGUGAAUAGUAACAGCGAAAAAAUAAUUAAAUCAGAAAACAGAAUUCGACACACGAAUCCUAGAUAUCUACCAGCAGAUAAGCACCAAGCCUAAACUGCACCAGAUGGCAGCAACUAGAAAUUGAAAAACAAGAGAGGUUUAAGCCGCUUUACCAGAGCGGGAUCCUAAGGUCAGGACCCCGACUUACCAAUGCGACGACGAGGUCAACCGUGGCUCUGAUACCACUGUUGAGUAUCGACCCUCGUCGUCGUUGUUGAAGGCUUCCUUCUCCGGGGCAGCAAAGCAGCGGCAACACAGCGGCGGAACAGCAGCAGGGACGGCGGCGGCAGGGGCAGCAGCAGCGGCGGCUGUCCUCCGGCAACAACGCAGCAGCAACAGCGGCGCAGCAACGAGGUAGCAGCAGCCUCGACAACCUGCAAGGAAAAACACACAAAGAGAGGAACAAGGGGCGUCGAUCUUCUCGGCUCAGGUACAGCUCUCUUCCUCUCGAUCACGCACACACUAAGCCACGAAGAAUCACAAAGGGGACGUUGCUCUCGCCGGCACCACAAUCGGCCAACAAGCCUUACACCUUCACCGGUAGCACCUCCACACAAAGGAAGAACACUAAGCAAUUUUCGUCUCCUAUACAGCCACAGACCAAGGGCUCUUUAAAUAGCCUACCAAAGAAGGAUCUAGAGAAGGAAGGUGAAGAGGUUCAUGGGGAGAAGAAGCGCAGGGGUCACAGCCCCAAAAGGGCACUAAUUUCGACUGGAAGGGGAAAUGGGAGGGCUGCCAAAAUAAGGAGGAUAGGGCAUGGGCUUGUUGGGCCAAAAUUGGGCCAACUAACAACAACGGACUUAGGAUUAAUGCACUAUUUUCUCGGAAUGGAGAUAAGUCAAGAGGAAGAAGGCAUCUUCCUAUCACAAAAAAAGUAUAUUGAAGAUAUGCUCAAGAAGUUCAAGAUGCAAGACUGCAAGCCAGUGGUUACACCUCUCAUUCCAAAUGAGAAGUUGAAGAAAGAAGAUGGGUCAAAACCGACGGAUUCUACAAACUAUCGAAGUUUGAUUGGGAGUCUACUAUAUUUGACGGCAACAAGGCCUGACAUCAAGUAUGCAACAAGCCUUCUAUCCAGAUUCAUGGAAAGUCCGAAGGAGACCCACUAUGGAGCAGCAAAGAGACUUCUCAGAUACCUGCAAGGUACGCUCAACUAUGGUAUUUGGUACAAACCAAAGUCUGACUCACAGAUUAGUGGAUAUAGCGAUAGUGAUUGGGCUGGAUCUCAAGAUGACAUGAAAAGCACCUCAGGCUAUGCUUUCAAGCUUGGCUCAGGAAUUUUUCUUGGGGAUCAAAGAAGCAAGACUCAGUUGCACUAUCAACAGCAGAAGCUGAGUAUGUUGCAGCAGCCGAAGCAGCAUGUCAAGCUAUAUGGCUUAGAAGAAUACUAGCGGAUAUGGGCGAACCGCAAGACUCAUCGACAGAGAUCUACUGCGAUAACAAGUCAGCUAUAGCAAUGGCUAAGAAUCCAGUUCAGCACAAUCGCACCAAGCACAUCGACAUCAAGUAUCACUUCUUGAGAGAUGUUGAAGCAAAGAAACUUAUCGAGAUGAAGUAUUGUCCAACAGAAGAGCAGUUGGCGGACAUCUUCACAAAAGCACUACCAAGGGACAGAUUCCAAUUUCUGCGAAGAAUGCUUGGAGUAACCGAUAAAUGCAUCAAGGAGGAGUAUUGAAGUGUGAUGCAUUUAUCUAGAAUAUUCUAAGUGAGAAUAUACUAUGCAUAAUCUAGAGAAUUCACCACUAGCUAGAUUACUCUAGAGUAUUCUAAAUAAUACCUAGGACAUGUAUGGUAUUCUAGAGAUUAGAUAUUUUCUAUAUAGUAUCUAGAGAAUUCCUUAAGUGGAUGCUAGUAGAGAAUUCUAGAUACAAGUUAGUGUAGUGGGAUCUAGAGAGAUCUUCCCACACCUAUAAAUAGAGCUCUUGUGAGCCAUUUGUAACCAAUCUCAAACCAAUCUCACAUAAUCUAAAACAUCUCAAAAACAUCACUCUAUCUAUUAUCUAAGUUCUUUGGAGACAAGAGCUCCACUCUAAAAUCAUUAUCUCUAUCUUCUACACACACUACACUCACAAUAUUCUCUACACCACUUCACUACAAUCACUCACCAUACUCAAGCCUCUAUAUAAUCACCUCCAUUUUCUAACAGAGACGCCGAUAGGAGUCGGCGGCGGCCGGCAGCGAAAUCGCCGGACAAGAAGGCGGCAGCUGCGACUGCAGAUUCAGGGAGAGAAAGAGAGAACAGAGCGAUGGAGCGUGGAUUUGAGAGAGAGAAUGUGAAAAGAAAAGAGUGAUGGAACGUGAAUUUUAGGGAGAAAGGAAUUGGGUUCCAGUUAUGGGCUAAGCCUUUAAUUCAGUAAUGGGCUGAAUUUUUUUAGCUGGACUAUGAUUUAUUUAAUUUGAACUCAUGUUGGGCCUUUUGAUUUUAAUGAAUAAAUCCCUAAGCAUUAAAUUAUUUUCAAAUACAUUUAGGUCUUUAUAUUUUAUUAUUUGAAUUUAACUGACAAGGUGCGGCGCGGCUAGGAUAUGAACUUUGAAAUUCUCACAGUUAAUCUUUCAAAGUUCAAAUUUCAACUGUGAGAUUUAUUUAAAUAUAUUGCUGUCAGUUUUUGACUUAACAGAAUAGUGUCUUGCGGGAUGAUUUUGAUGAUGAUCCCAUAGUCCAAAUCACUUGAAAUUUUUACAGUGAUAACUUCAUUAUGAGUAUUAGAUCUCUGCAAAAUUUCAACUGAAUCCGAAACCUUUAGAUAGGUCAAACAAUUUUCUUAAAAGUAAUGCGUGAAGCAGCAAGGUUCUGUAUCAGAUUCUGCCUUUUGUGAGAUCAUUUCUUGUACAUGCACUUGAGAUAUUGCAUUUUUGUAAAUUUUAAUGAUAGACUUUAAUAGCUUAAUUUCCAUUAAAAAGAUAAUUUCUUAUAUCUAAUUGUAAGUAACAACACUACUUUAGAUCUCAAAUCACAUAAGUAUUGUUGAGUAUAGACCCUCGUCGUCGUUGUAGAAGGCUUCCUUCGACUUUGGGCAGCCACAGCGCAGCUACAAAGCCGCAAAACAGCAGCUGCACAGCGGCGCAGCAACGAGGUAGCAGCAGCCUCGACAACCUGCAAGGAAAAACACACAAAGAGAGGAACAAGGGGCGUCGAUCUUCUCGGCUCAGGUACAGCUCUCUUCCUCUCGAUCACGCACACACUAAGCCACGAAGAAUCACAAAGGGGACGUUGCUCUCGCCGGCACCACAAUCGGCCAACAAGCCUUACACCUUCACCGGUAGCACCUCCACACAAAGGAAGAACACUAAGCAAUUUUCGUCUCUCUACAGCCACAGACCAAGGGCUCUUUAAAUAGCCUACCAUAGAAGGAUCUAGAGAAGGAAGGUGAAGAGGUUCAUGGGGGAGAAGAAGCGCAGGGGUCACAGCCCCAAAAGGGCACUAAUUUUCGACUGGAAGGGGGGGAAAUGGGAGGGCUGCCAAGGAUAGGGCAUGGGCUUGUUGGGCCAAAAUUGGGCCAACUAACAACAUCUCCACCUUUGGCCCAAUCACGGUAUUGUGUGCAUCAAAGAGGAAGCUGUACCAUAAUCAUCAUCGCCGAGCCCCCUGUUAAAUCACAAAGAAAUAACAGGGAAACACAAGACCACAAAGGUCAACGGGUAAACUAACCAAGUCAAUUCCUGCAAAACACAAACAAGAGAAAGACAACCACCAAGCACGAAGCACACUAACACAAAGUUAGUCUAGCACAAAGGGCCACAAAGAGCUAGCACAGAUCACAAAGUACACAUGAUCACGAAGAUAACAUGCGACACAAACGGUCAUCACAAAGUAAAACUCACAAAGCCACAUAGACACAAAGCUACUAAUCAAUCACAAAGACACUAAGCCACAAAGACUCACAUAGUCAUUAAGGCACUAACCAACGAAGUCUCACAAAGCCACAAAGCCUAAACAAUCACAAAGAACAACACUAAGGCAUUAAGAAAGAGCUCCACCUUAGAACACAUCACUAUUGGUUUCAUUACCAAUUACAUUAGCAUGCUCUACAUCUUGUUUUUUCUUAGGGUGAGGACAAUCCUUAAUAUAGUGACCAGUUUCACCACAGUUAUAGCACUUCCUAGGCUUAUAUCUAUGAUUAGACUUAUCAUUAAAUCUCUUUUCACCCCUAACAUGCAUGACUUUGUCCGGUUCUUGAACACAAAUAUUAGAAUUUAAAUCUAAUUCCUUAUUCUUUAAAGCACUCACAACAGUGUCAAGCGUCACAUUAUCUCUACCAUACUUAAUAGCAGAUUUAACAUCACUGUAAGAGUCAGGAAUAGCAUUUAAAAGAGCAUACGGAGCAUACUCAUCAAUAUGUUUAUCACCCGUCAGUUUUAUAUCUUGAACUAACUUAGUGAAUUCAUCAACAUUUUCAUCAAUUUUCUUAUUCAAAUCAAGUUUGAAACGGAAAAACCUUUCAAUCAAAAAUAUCUUAGACGGCAACGAGGUUCCAGUGUACAACUCCUCUAACUUAGACCAUAGUUCUUUAGCAGAAGUCAUUCUCCCUACUUUUCUAAGAACACACUCAGACAAGUUGAGAACAAUAGCAGACAAGGCAAGACGAUUCAAUUGAGUUUUCUUUUUCUCAUCAACAUCUUCAUCAUACGAAUCAUCAAUUACUUGAUAAACAUUUUGUUGAAUUAAAAUACAUUCCAUUUUCUGCUGCCAAAAACCGAAGUCCGUUUUACCAUUAAAAGGAGCUAAACCAUAAUUUGCCAAAGAAGACAUCGCAACACGAAGCAAAUAAUCACAAAGACUCACAAAGAUUGACAACCACAGAGUUUACAGCGGAAGUAAAAAAUAAGAGACCAAAAACACUAUUCACGAAAAUACUAUUCACGUGAAUAGAAACAGUUUACCAGAGCGGGAUCCUAAGGUCAGGACCCCGACUUACCAAUGCGACGACGAGGUCAACCGUGGCUCUGAUACCACUGUUGAGUAUAGACCCUCGUCGUCGUUGUAGAAGGCUUCCUUCGACUUUGGGCAGCCACAGCGCAGUUACAAAGCCGCAAAACAGCAGCUGCACAGCGGCGCAGCAACGAGGUAGCAGCAGCCUCGACAACCUGCAAGGAAAAACACACAAAGAGAGGAACAAGGGGCGUCGAUCUUCUCGGCUCAGGUACAGCUCUCUUCCUCUCGAUCACGCACACACUAAGCCACGAAGAAUCACAAAGGGGACGUUGCUCUCGCCGGCACCACAAUCGGCCAACAAGCCUUACACCUUCACCGGUAGCACCUCCACACAAAGGAAGAACACUAAGCAAUUUUCGUCUUUUCUACAGCCACAGACCAAGGGCUCUUUAAAUAGCCUACCAUAGAAGGAUCUAGAGAAGGAAGGUGAAGAGGUUCAUGGGGGAGAAGAAGCGCAGGGGUCACAGCCCCAAAAGGGCACUAAUUUUCAACUGGAAGGGGGGAAAUGGGAGGGCUGCCAAAAUAAGGAGGAUAGGGCAUGGGCUUGUUGGGCCAAAAUUGGGCCAACUAACAACAAGUAUCAACAUCAAAUAGCAGAAACAUAAUAAGACAUCUUCUAGAAAUCUUAUUUUGACACAUUCUCUAGAAGAGUUUCUUAUCAUGCUAGAGAAAGGCAUUCUAUAAGAAUAAAAAAAGACCGAGGACCACUCAUUAAGUUAAACUGCAUAGCUGUAAUUAAUUUUGUUCCUCCUGAUAUAGCAGUUAAAACUUGUACAGUAAAAAAAGGGAUCUUCUAAGUAAAGCAAGUUACACAUGUUGCAGGCAUACAUGGGAAUACAAAGGAAUCCAACGAAGUGGUGUACAAGAAACAUUUACAUAUGCUCUUACCUAAUAACAAGGAAGUCAAGCAACUCUAGAUGUUUCUCCAUGUAUUGUUCACAGCUAUUUAUGGAAUCUACGUUUUGCUUUAGCAAUAUAGACCAACAAUGCACUAAAUUUUUCCUAGCCUGCGUGGAGAUUUACAUAUUUGUCAAGCUUUGAAAUUAACAGAUUUGCACUGCAUUUCAAAAUAAAAAUGAAUACAAAUUCGACACUCAAUUUCGAACCUGUUGCGGUAGUGCGACUCCGGCGAUGAGAGAUCUGAAAAUGAUAUGCAAAUUUGAGAGAGAGAGAGAGAGAGAACAAGCUGUGCGGCGCGGCGGGGAGGGGAGGCAGCAAGCGGCGGUAAUGCGACUCCGGCGGCGGAGAACGGAGCAAGGGCGAGCGAAGUGAUUUAGGGCAAUUAAUUUUGGGGAAGAAGAUCUAAUAUGAGUGAAAUUAAUUUCUUAACGGAUUCUCGACGGAAAUCCGAAGUAAUAAAAAUAAUUAUUUUUUUUAUUUAUAUUUGUUGACGGAUUGUCGACGGGAACUUAAACUUUUAAUUAAAUUAAUAUUUUACGAUGGAUCAAUGACGGACAAAUAAAAAAUAAAAAUAAUAUUUUAAGAAAUUAAAAUUUCUUGACGGAUUUAUGAGGGAUUUAGGACGGUGCUUAAUUUCCGUCGAGAAUCCGUCCAGAACGCCGCAAUAUUCUCGACCAGACCUUCCCCGUCGUCAUUUUCCGCCACUGUUCAUGACUUUUUUUGUAGUGAGAAAUGGGCUCUGGGUGACACCAAAAGCACAAAUAAUUGAUUUUUGGCCCUAAACAAGAGUGUAAAUAUUAUGAAAAAAAGUUAUAGUCCUCAUUCUUAAAUUCCAUAAAAUAUAUUCUUUUUUCUGAAAUUCUUGAAAGUUGUGGUCCUAUUUUUAUCAUUAGGUCUAUGAAAGGAAAAUACAGAAAAGAAAACACGAAAUAAAUAUGGAGAGCAAACGUGGUCCUCUUCAGAUCCUCUAUAGAUUUCCUUAACCUACGAAAUCAUACGAUCUUAAAUAUGACGGUACGUGUCAAGUUUUAAUUCUUCUUCAUAUUUGCACAUGACCAUCAACUACAGAUUGAAGCAAUUUACCAAUCUAUGAAUUAGUAUGUAACAACAAGAAAUAGAAUAUAGAAAACACCUAAUGUUAGAAAUUGAAAAUGCGGUUUCAUACAUAGAGAGACAUAUGUGAUCAAAAGAAUCAUGCUGCAGAGAACCUGUUUGAUCAAAUGCCAGAAGGAAUUAACCCAACUGUUUGAUGAAAUGCCGGAAAUGAUGGUAGGGGGCCGGUUUAGCCUUAGGGCGUGUUUGAUAUUGGUUAAUACACUGUAUUAGCUAAUUUAGUACAGAUCAGUCUAGUGUUUGGUAUUAUUUAGUAAUAAUGCGGAUGACCCGGUUUAAUCCCACGACCCUGUAUUAUUAAUCCAGAUUUCUUAGGAUUAAUAAUACUACCUCCCCCCUAGGAUUAACUUAAACCAGGAUAUUCUGUAUUUAGCCAUGAUAGCAAACACCAACUCAGUAUUAAUAAUCUGUCAUUAUCCACGCUAAAUAUCCUGGUUACAAAUUAUCCUACAAAAUCCUUUACUGAAAACUAAACGAGCCCUUAGAGAAAUCAAUCUGGCGUGACGAACAUCACGAACACCCAACUUCGAGAAAGAGAGUUAGAGUUAACUCCAACUAUAUUUUAAAUGUACAUAUCACUUUACACCCAUUGAAAUAUAUAUCAUGUUUUUCCUUUCCUAUUAAAUUUUUUUCCGCUGAGAUCGCAGGAGAUCUGAAUUGUAAAAAGAGUGGACACAAAAAAAAAAAAGAAGAAGAAGAAGAUAAUGUGGUCGUAUUAUAUUUAUUAUAGUACUCCAUUAUUAGUUGAUGGUCCUUACCCAUGCACAAUAAUAUACGGAGAAUUAUAGUACUCCAUUAUUGGUUGAUGGUCCUUACACGUGCACAAAUAUAUACUCUCUCCGUCCCCCAAAAUUAUGCAUACCUUUCCUUUUUGGUACGUUUCCCAAAAUUAUGCAUAUCUUAUUUUUGGACACACCCCACAUAUAAUUCUUACAAUUUAAUUUACUGUUUUAACUUAUAACAAUACCCUUAAUGCGGCCUUUCUCCACUAUCAUUACUACAAACAAUUUUAUUAAACUCGCGUUGGAGUCAACCAUGCAUAAUUUUGAGGGACGGAGGGGAUAUAUCAAGAAGCAUUUAAAAGAAGAUAAUGUGGUCAGAAGAAGAAGAAGAAGAAGAUAAUGUGGUCGUAUUAUACUCCUUCCGUCCCCCUAGAAUUGACACACUUGCCUUUUUGUUUGUCACACUAGAUUUGACACUUUUCUAAAAUAGUAUGUGGUCCCUACAUUCUCUACACACAUAAAAUAAGUGGACCCUACCUACUUUACAAUAUGGGUUAAGUAUCAAAUAAGCCCCUAUCAUAGUGGCCCUUUUCACGUUUGGCUCCCUAUAGUCGAAGUUGGUCCAAUUAAACCCUCAUACUACCUAAAAUCGAACAAUUUGGCCCUCUGCCAUAACGGCGACAUAACAGCCGUUAACUAUUUUAUUUUUAAAUUUUUAAUUUUAACACAAUUAAUUUUUCGCCGGAAACGCACCAUGGGUUUUGACCGGAUGAAGCCAACUGGCCGGAAACACACCAGAUGAAGCCAAAGCAAUCACCGCCUAGGGUUUCGCGCCGCCACCGAGCGGCACUGCUGCCUACACAGCCUCCGUUUGCCUAUCGUCGACCACCUUCUAAACUCGCCGCCGGACAAACACGAAAGGAGGAGGAGGCGCGAUUAAAAUCGCAGCCGCCCACGCUGCGAUUCAGAACUUCGCGCCGCCUCACAGCAACCCCAGCAACGAAAACUCUGUUGGGAAUUGUUCACGGCGGUUGGGCUGCCAAGAUUUGCCGGAGCAAACCCAGCCCCCAAUCGCCGUCGACUCCCAGACGAACGCCAAGGAGCCGCAAAACCUGCUAGGGAUUGGACGAGGUGGGGGAGGUGAGAGAGGGGGAUGCGGCGGCGGGCUGCGGCGACGAUGAGAAAGGCGGAGGUGGGGGAGGAGGAGCGGUGGAUGAGGGAGAAGACGUAGUGCGGGAGAGAGGAAGAGGGAAAGGAAAUGGAGGGGCAGAGGCUGUGGAAGAUUUUCCGGCGAGUUUCCGGCCAGCUUGGCGAAGUGCAGCCUACGCAGCACACCAACAAAAUAAAAAAAAAUAAAUUGAAAAUAGUUAACGGCUAUUAAGUUGCCGUUAGGGCAGAGAGCCCAAUUGUUCGAUUUUAGGUAGUAUGAGGGUUUAAUUGGACCAACUUCAACUAUAGGGAGCCAAACGUGAAAAGGGCCACUAUGAUAAGGGUUUAUUUGAUACUUAACCCUUAUAGAGGGAUGGAGGGGNAAACACGAAAGGAGGAGGAGGCGCGAUUAAAAUCGCAGCCGCCCACGCUGCGAUUCAGAACCUUCGCGCCGCCUCACAGCAACCCCAGCAACGAAAACUCUGUUGGGAAUUGUUCACGGCGGUUGGGCUGCCAAGAUUUGUCGGAGCAAACCCAGCCCCCAAUCGCCGUCGACUCCCAGGCGAACGCCAAGGAGCCGCAAAACCUGCUAGGGAUUGGACGAGGUGGGGGAGGUGAGAGAGGGGGAUGCGGCGGCGGGGCUGCGGCGACGAUGAGAAAGGCGGAGGUGGGGGAGGAGGAGCGGUGGAUGAGGGAGAAGACGUAGUGCGGGAGAGAGGAAGAGGGAAAGGAAAUGGAGGGGCAGAGGCUGUGGAAGAUUUUCCGGCGAGUUUCCGGCCAGCUUGGCGAAGUGCAGCCUACGCAGCACACCAACAAAAUAAAAAAAAAUUAAAUUGAAAAUAGUUAACGGCUGUUAAGUUGCCGUUAGGGCAGAGGGCCCAAUUGUUCGAUUUUAGGUAGUAUGAGGGUUUAAUUGGACCAACUUCGACUAUAGGGAGCCAAACGUGAAAAGGGCCACUAUGAUAAGGGUUUAUUUGAUACUUAACCCUUAUAGAGGGAUGGAGGGGGUAUAUCAAGAAGCAUUUAAAAGAAGAUAAUGUGGUCAGAAGAAGAAGAAGAAGAAGAUAAUGUGGUCGUAUUAUACUCCUUCCGUCCCCCUAGAAUUGACACACUUGCCUUUUUUGUUUGUCACACUAGAUUUGACACUUUUCUAAAAUAGUAUGUGGUCCCUACAUUCUCUACACACAUAAAAUAAGUGGACCUUACCUACUUUAACCCUUUAUUCUUAAUUUCCGUGCCCAAUUCAAAAGUGUCAAUUUUAGUGGGACGGAGGAAGUAUUUAUUAUCACUCCACUAUUAGUUGAUGGUGGUCCUUUGGUCCUUACAUGCACAGAUUUAUCAAGAGGAAUUUAAACGUGAAGAUAAUGUGGUUGGACCACAGUGGUCCUAUAUAUAUUAAUACAACAGUACUAGCCCAAUAAAAACUAGGUCGAAAUGUUGCAAUGAAAAUUUAAUUUAAAUGACGUAAUUGAUUUAUGCAUUUAUAUGGAUUCAAACUCGUGAUCUUGAGCCACUAGGUUAGUACCCAAUAAUGCACUAGACUAUACAAAACGAUGAAAAUAUACAGAAAGUUUCUGUAACAUAUAAAUGGUGGGACGUGUUUGCAGAAUAAUCAGGUGAAAAAUAUUUACAUUGCCCAUGUUUGGUUGAGCAUUUUUCGAGCUUGGAAAUGGGACUUUUAAUUUGUAAUGCUAUUAGAACAUUAAAUCUAGGUCUGGCGUCUACAGCUAGCUAGGUUAUGUUUUAAUAAGGGAAAUAGUUAGGUUUGACAUCUGCAGCUACCUAUCGAUAAAUUAACUAAGUGGGAAUUGAGGUAUGUCAGCUGCACUCACGGUAUCCUAUAAUUGGUUGGUUGAUAAAAAUUAAUUUAUCAUUGCGUCGAUGAUCAGAGCCAUUAGAUUAGUAUGGAUUUAUUCAAGCCGAAUUACCUUCCUUUUGAUUAAAUUCUAGUUUGCAAUUUUAGUUAUUUAUUUGUUUUCGUAGUUGAUUAGUAUUUUCUCUGAAUCUAAGGUGUGGUGGCUACACCGAAAUCAUCUUUAGGAAAUUGAAGAUUAUUAAUCCGUUCUCUGUAGUUCGACCCUGUUUAUUGCUAUACUAUUCUGAUUUUUAGUUGGUUGCAAGAACUAUUUGGUGGUAUAAUGAAGAGCCCAAAGCUUUUAAGUUCAUAAUUUUGGUUGUUUUGCAUAUGCAGGAGAAUUUUUUUCGGGCCUCCAAUUGCACUACAAAUUUUUAAAAAUUCGGCAUAAAUAGGACAAAUUGAGCCCGAAAAAAUAAUUUGCCCGAAAAAAUUGAAUUCUCAAAUUUAAUUUAAUUGAGCAUAGUUUUUUUCCCCAGUAUAUUAUAUAUGUUCACAUAUUAAAGUUCUUUAUCUCCCUUAAAUAUAUUUCCUAUUAUUUAUAUAAAUAUGAUAGAAACAUUCUUGAAUCUCAAAUUUUGACCAAGUUAAAUAGAUAAAAUAUUUUAUUCAAGUCCACUAUCUUAUGACUGUUUGCAAAAAUAGACCAAUAUUUUUCGAACCUGCAAUAGACCAAUAUUCAAGUCCACUAUCUUAUGACUGUCGGCAGGCAUUUAUAGGCCACAUUUUUUGUUCCAAUGUGGUCCAAAAUAGCCUAAUUCACUUAAAAUGUGGCUCACAAAUGCCAAAAUUUAAAAUAAUUGACCUAUUUUUGCAAGUCUGAAAAAUAUUGGCCUAUUUUUGCAAAUCGUCCUAAGAUAGUGGCUUUAAAUAAUUUUAAACUCUAUCAUUAAUUUGCCACGACAUCCCAAUUUGAUCCUUCGUGAUAAAUGCAAUCCGGCCUUGUUUUUCCUUUUUUACUGGUAUGAAUCUUUCAUUCUCUAUGCUCUUGAUAUCAAUAUUAUUGAAACUAUACUUGAAUAAUUAGUAUAGAUGAUUGUCAUUAACCGUCAUCUAUUUUAGGUACUAUACUUGACACCAGUAUACUUGACGGUCGACGGAUAUCAUAGAUGACGGCUAAAAACCGUCAAGUAUGAGCGUUUUUCUUGUACUGUUUCAAAAUAAUUUGGUGAAGAAAAAAAUGAAAAAGUUAACGGACGGAUUAUUCUAAUAUUAGUAUAUAUUUACAUGGCUAGUCAAUAAUGAUAAUGUAAAAGUAUGAUGAUUGAUUGAUACCACUAUUAUCAUGCAUGCACUAUAAUGUACUAGUAUAAAUAGAUGCAAAAGAUACCACCACCAUGAGCCACAUCCAAAUCAAAUACUCUUACUCAAUUAAGCCAUGGCCAAGCUUCUCCAAACCCUAAUCUCCAUCGCCCUCCUCCUCGCCGCCGCCAACACGGCGCGGUCCCAAACGACGACCUUCGCCUACGACUUCUGGGGCGACCAGCCGACCGAGCUCCUCUACCAAGGCGACGCCCAUUUCCCGUCGGACUCCACCUUCCUCCGCAUGACCAAGACCACCUCCGGCAACGCGGUCGGGUACAGCGUCGGCCGGGUCGUGUACCCGACACCGGUCACGUUCUGGCAGGCCGGGGCGCAGGUCGACUUCGAGACCACCUUGAACUUCAUCAUAACCCCCAACCCCGGCGACACGAACCCGGCCGACGGCUUCACCUUCUUCAUCGCCCCCGUCGACCUACCCCUCGGCUUCACCGGCGGCAGCUACGGAAUCUUCAACUCCUCGGGCGUCGGCCCCUCCGUCUUCGCCGCGGAAUUCGACAUCUUCUCCAACCCCGGAGUGGAUCCCAGCUUUCGUCAUAUUGGGAUCGACAUCGAAUCUAAUGUUUCCAAAAAUGUGACCA
rnacentral:lncRNA from 1 species